rfam:Rattus norvegicus chromosome 1, whole genome shotgun sequence.
GGGGAUUUAGCUCAGUGGUAGAGUGCUUGCCUAGCAAGCACAAGGCCCUGGGUUCGGUCCCCAGCUCCU